rnacentral:rRNA from 1 species
UAGGGGAUAUUGCACAAUGGGCGGGAGCCUGAUGCAGCAACGCCGCGUGAGUGAUGAAGGCCCUCGGGUCGUAAAACUCUUUUCAAGAGGAAGAGGAAGGACGGUACUCUUGGAAUAAGCCUCGGCUAACUACGUGCCAGCAGCCGCGGUAACACGUAGGAGGCGAGCGUUAUUCGGAUUUACUGGGCGUAAAGCGCGUGUAGGCGGCUGAUCAAGUUGGAUGUGAAAGCUCCCGGCUUAACUGGGAGAGGACGUUCAAAACUGAACAGAUGAGGUAGGAGAGAGGGAAGUGGAAUUCCGGGUGUAGGGGUGAAAUGCGUAGAUAUCCGGAGGCACACCAGUGGCGAAGGCGAGUAGCUGGCUCAAGACUGACGCUCAGACGCGAAAGC